AACAUGCCACAUUCCUCAAUUCCAUCCAUCCAUUUGCCCUCCCUCUUUCUUUUUGAGUAAAGGAGGAGGGAAAGAGGUGUGUGUGUGUGUGUGUUUUUAAAGAACUGAACAUUUCCUGCUAUAUUUCUACGUCAGAGUUUAUGUUUUGAGUUAUGACUGAAGUUAAAGAGGCAGAGUUUUUUAAACAUUUAUUUAAUUAUUUAUUUGUUUGUUUGUUCAUUAAUUGAUUGUAUGUUGAUGGAAAUUAAGACUGAAACUUGCUGUGAGAGUAUAAUAGCAUGUCUGAGCAUGUGUGUGUGUGUGUGUGUGUGUGUGUGUGUGUGUGUGUGUGUGUGUAGAGUUUUUACUCAGUCUGGAGAUUAUAUAUUUAUAAAGAGUAGUUUUAUCUUUUCUCUCCAUGUUUUUAAAGCUCCAGAGUGACGGAAACGAGAUGUUAGAUGUUCCAGUUACAGCUGAACAUUAGGAAACUCCCAGAACUGAAACGUUGAGAAAAUGUUUGGCUAAAAACCUGAUUUCAACCUGAGAGCUCCAAAGUCAAACAAUAAUAAAGAUGUAACUUUAACGUCAUUUUAAAGUUCCUCAGGAAAAUGUUCAGGAACAGAGAGAAUGGUCAUCAGCACUGAGGUCAUGUGACCUUCAUUUCCUCUUUACAAGACAGAGGUGAAAGAACAACCACAUCCAGGGUUUAAAUCAUCACGUGCAGAUUCCGGGUGGAUUUAAAAAGAAUAAAGACCUCUGAUAGACUGAGACGCUUUAACUCCAUUGAAUCCAGAAACUCAGGCAGAGCUGGAGUCGGAGUGACGAGGAGCCAAGGUUCUGUAUCACACAGGAAACCAGCAGGAUUUAAAUAUAAAGAGGAAAGGGCUAAUGAGAACCAGGUGAGAUUAAUUAACUACCAUGGCAACAAGCUAACAAGGAGAAAACCAUGACCAAAUAAGUAGCACUGUGGUAUCACUAGGAACACAAUAUGGUGCACUUACAGAACCUAUAUCUACAUGUAGAACAUGAACACUGUCAUCUUUAGAUCUCCGGGUAUAAUGGAGCACCAUCUUAUGGUAGGAGGAUCUUCUGUUCCACAAUCUUUUACUUCACUCCAGAUCUUCAGAAUCCAGAGCCUGAUAAGUGAAAACAACUACUUGGGUUUUGUAAAAAGGUUCUACAGAACCUACACCUUCUCCUCUACUGUCCACUUCAGGUUUGUGGUUAAAGUCACUGCAUGUUUGAAUAGUUUAACUCACUCCUGGAAAAAAGGUUCCUUAUGGGUUUUAAAGGAUAUUUAAAGGUUUUAAGAAGAAAGGUUAGAUAUGAGGACUAUGCACUGAUUUGGAAACACUGUGGUGGAGUGUUCUACAGAGAAGGUUCUAAAGUUGAUCUUAAGGAAGGAUUUUUAUCUGCUUUAUAUCAUUAUUCUGGAGGAGGAGCACUUCAGGUCUCCCAGAUCAAUGAUGUUAGGUGAGGAGCCAUACACAACUAGGUUAAAUCUAGAUAUUUAAGGUUCUCCAGGGAAUACACAUAAAAGAGAUUGGGAAUAGAACCCAUUCUGGAAACUUAGAGCCUCGUAUUUUCCAAAGAACCCUCGAGGAACUUGAUUUGAUUGUGCAAAAGAGAUUUAUAUUUUAUGAGACGUGGGUCAGCCAAAUUGAGCAAGUGCCAAUAUUUUAUUGCUCUUUUUUAUGUGCACAUGGAGAUCCUGCCAGAUCUCACUCACUCACACACACACACACACACACACACACAGAUUAUAUGCAGGUCUCAGCUGUUAUUCUGAGAGAAAAACGUGUUCGCAUUCUGAAACUGUCUUUAGAGGACAGACAGGUGGAGAGACAGACAUGAGGAAGAGUGAUAGAGGAAGGGAAGAGCAAAGGGGAAAGAGAGAGGAGACAGGAAGGAGUUAAAAAGAUGAGUGAAGUUGAACAGGAAGGCAGACGUCGGGCUCGACUCCAAACAGAUGUUCAAUUGUUUCACAGGCUGAAAAAAGCUGGAGUGAGUUCAACAUGGAGAGAGACAGAGAGGGGGAUGAAACAGGAAAGAGAGAGGGAUCGCAGCUGCAGAAAAAAAAGAGGGAACGGACAGAUGGAGAGAGAGAGUCUACAGCAAGGAAGGAGAAGAGAGAGUAGUGUGUAAAGAGAGGGAAUAAGCACAGGAAAACAGUGCUCUAAUCUGUCUGUCUGUCUGUCUGUCUAUCUGUGAGGUAAUGUAACGUGAUCUGACGUGACUUGAGAGUAAUGUACCAUGAGGUACAUUCAUGUGAAGUAACAUAAAAAUAAGGUAAUGUAAGUUAACAUCAUAUGAGGGAACAUGAAGUAUGACACUGAGGUAACGAGGUAACGUCUUGAAGUAACAUAACAUGAGCAACAUGAGAUAAAGUAACAAUGUCAGGUAAUGUAGUAUGAGGUAUGAGCUAACACAGUUAGGUAAAAUGAGGUAAAAAAAAAAAUACACUUGAUCUGCCACUAGGAUUGUUCAGCUCUUUUAUCAAAGCACUUAUUGUUAAAGAACUGAUAACUGAUCAGGAGUUUAGUCUUCUGUGUUUAACAGAAUGAUGGAUUAAACCACACGAGGAUGUAGCGAUAAACAAAGCUACUCCGUUUCACCACACCUGAGAUAUGGUAGCUCCAUUAGGAGACAAAUAAUUAGAGAAAAAACCCCUACUUACAUUUUCCUUUAAACAGAUAAUAACAAUAUCAACUGGAACCUAAUCAGCACUGGAUAUGUACCAGAACACCACAUCAUCAAUGCUAAUGAAGCAUGAGGUAACAGUCGACUAUCACCGUCUGUCUGUCCAUCCCACCACCGGUCCCUCCGUCCACACUUUCAUACAAGCUACAGGUUCUGUGCAGUAACAUACAUCUGGGCAGAUCAUACAGAAUCAUAUUCAUACAGAAUCAUACAGUAAACUACUUCAGUGUGAUGAAACAUCUGUUGUACUGUAACACACACACACACACACACACACUGUACACAUUCAUACAACCGCCCACAUCACAUAUCCAGGUUUGUGUGUGUGUGUGUGUGUGUGUGUAGUGCUCACUUAGAGGUCAAAGAGCUUAGUCUCUCUACAACAUUCAGUAAGAACUCACUCUACACUCCACAUACUUUCUCUGCCACACACACACACACACACAUACACACACACACACACAAUGCAGAGUUUCGCAAUUGGAGGAAUUCCAAAGCAGGAAGGAACAAUAGCUGGACUGGAGCUAAUUAACCACAUAACACCAGACUUCUCUACAUCUCUCUCUCUCACACACACACACACACACACACACACAAUUACUUACCUCUUGUUACUUUACCUCAUGUUAGACUACUACACUACUAGUUUGAGUUAUCUCACAUUACAUAACUCACAUGUCACCUUAUGUGAUGUGUUUAUUCAUCAAAAGUAGAAUAAAGAAUAAAAUUUCACCAACUCUUUCACGGUGUUUUCCAAAAAUUCCUUGGGAACAUGUGAGGAAUUUUCAGUAAAGAAGUGCUGCAGUCGGAGCCGCAGUGACAGGAACCUCAGUUAACUAUCUUCUGAUUUAUAAGUGUGUGCAGCAUAAACGUGUGAUAUAAAACAGACAGUGACAUUCCUCCAAAACGCAGGAUGCCAUUGAUGUGAUGUCACUGCGUGGUCAGGCCAGCGUCUCUCUCUAUCUCUCAGACACACGCACACACACACACAUACACAGACACACACACACACAGUUUUAUGAUCAUGUGUACAUAUUUUAAAGUGUGUGCAAGGGUGAGGCAUUAAACUGAACAGGUGGUGUGUGUGUGUGUGUGUGUGUGUGAUUCAUUGUCUGUAAAUCUGAGCAGCUGAUGAAUGAGAUCCUGUUGACCCUGAAACACACCUGACUCACAGAGACACUGAUUUACGCAACGACACAGAGAUGCUGAGUUACAGCUCUGUAAAGUUUGUUAUAACACCUACUGACCAAUACACUGUGUAAUAAUACCUAAUAUAAUACGUACUGGUCAGUACACUGUGUUAUUUAAGUUUACAGUAUUUGCAGAUUUAACAUCUGAGCCUCCCAACAUAUCAACAUAAAGCUUCUAAACUUCCACCAGACUAUAGACUUCCAUAGACUAUGGAGUAGUGGCAUCGAGCUUCUGGAAGGUCCUACUCUUCCUCGAGGUCCUCUACACUGUUUUCUGCUGAAACUGGACACCUCCUGAUCCCCAACUCCACUUCCUGCUGAAACUGGACACAUCCUGAUUCCCAACUCCACUUCCUGCUGAAACUGGACAUCUCCUGAUUCCCAACUCCACUUCCUGCUGAAACUGGACACAUCCUGGUCCCCAAAUCCACUUCCUGCUGAAACUGGACAUCUCCUGAUCCCCAACUCCACUUCCUGCUGAAACUGGACACAUCCUGGUCCCUUGGUGUGGUGUUUUCCCAGAGACAAGCAACUCCAUGAACUUUCACAGACUCACACCACUGGAGCAGAAUUAUUGUGUGGAAAUGGAGAACUGCUGGUCAUCAGAACUGCCCUUGAUGAGUGGAGACAAGAAGAUGCUUAGUGUUCUUCUGUUAUUGUGACUGACCGUAAGAACCUGGGACAUGUGAAAAUGUUCAACACCCAGCAAGCCAAGUGGAUCUUUUUUUCCACAGUUUAACUUCACUCGCAUCCAUACAGACUCAGAUGGUGAAGCUGAAGCCCUCAGAGCUGUGAGGGACUCACACCUGCAUAAAGCCUGGGGCAGAUUUUUCAGCUCAUGUGCUAGAGGAUGUCCAAUGAGCACAAGAAGAACAUCCAUCACCUCCUCAGUGCAUAGCCACGAAAGUCCAUGUGUCCAGUCCAAGAGUGAGGAGGUUAUCUGUAGGGUCAGAGUCCACUCUGAACAUCAAGGUACAACCUGCAAGCAGGAGCUAGUGGAGAACAGGUUCUGAAGGCCACUGGGAUGUUUCUCAUGUCCUGUUCAUUCUGUUAGAAAUGUACACAUCAAGAUGCUUCACUUGUGUUCUCAGUUAUUCCACUCACUUCCUGUUGGAAAAAAACACACCGAAGUUUGGGUCAAUAUGAAAUCUCACACUUCUGAGUUGUCUGUCUGACUGUUUUUUUUUUCUUUGUCUUGCUCGUGUUCUCUGAUUCUGUUCCUGAGUUUUUGUUCUUUUACCCGGCUCGGCUUCCUCAACCACAGUUUGGAUCAUGUUUUAAAAUCGUUAUGUGACAUUUUGGAUUUUGUUUGUUUUGUUUUGACUUUUUCAUGUUUGUUUUUAAAUAUUUUUUCACAUCGUUUCUCAUUUUGUCUCCAUGAGCCCCCUUGUUAUAAUGAGGACAUUUAAUUUAAUUUCAUUUUAUCAUUUCAUAUAUUAUAUUAAAAAUAAUAUAAAUGAAUUUAUUUAUGACCCAAAUUUACAGAAUUAGAGUAAUGCAAUUCACUAAUAAAUAUCUGUAGUAGUUUUCUGAAUGUAAUAAAAAAUUCAGGCCCAGAAUGUCAGCGAGCAGAGCGGAAUAAUUUAUAAAGGCGAGAUUUUAUUUUACGUGACUGAAUAGCAGCGUGUCGGCGUGUCGGUGACUCACACCAACGUCGUGAUUUUCUCCUGAAAUGAAUCAGAAUGCAGGGUUGCCAAAUCUCAGCCCACAUCCCUCACCCACUCACUGCACCCACGGCCUCCGCUUCACCCGUUGUACUUUAUUUUCUGCCAAAAGACGACACAGAAUUCGACGCUAAUCCUCGUACAGGCUUCUGUCUGGAAAAAACCUCAGAGUGAGCAGAAACCUGGUGACCCAAGUCAUUAUCUGACUGAUGUAAGGUUUGGAAUAGGGAAAAAAAUCAUUUUUAAACACAUUAUUAUGGCCUUCAGAUAUUUUCUUUAAAAAUAGGAUUCCUGAAUUUACUGCUUCAAUUACAUGAAAAAAAAUCAGCAAAACUCCUCAAGGUGAUUUUUAAUGACUUCAAAAAAAAUAUCUGCAGAAGGAAAUUCACAGUAACAGUGUAUGAAGCCUCACAUUCAUAAAACAUCAUAACUGUGCUUAUAGAUCUGUGUACGCUGAUAAUCUUUUGUGAGCAUUUAAUAAUGCUCUAUUAAGCUCUACUAAUGAGGAAUCAAUUAAAAUGAACCUUGAUAAGUUAGAAUCAUGUUGUAAUUAAAGUGUCACUAUUCAUCAUAAUGCACAACCUUCUAGCAGAUCUGGAAGGUUCAAGGUCAUAGAGUGUUUGGUGUACUGGGAUGUUUGGAUACUGUUGCCUUACCACCCUCACAUGGUCACUCAGGUCACUGACUGUGAAGUGGUUGGAUGCUUUAUGUCCCGGGAAGCCUUCAUGUCCAUCACCUUCUGGCUCUCCCUUUUAGUUAUGCUGUCAUAGCUAGUCUUGCCAGAAUCCCUGCCUGCACUUUACACAUAAUCUACAUUGUGUUUAAGCAUCACAUGAUCAGAAUCAUACUUAAUAUCUCUUUCUCUCUCUCUGCCUUCUCUGUGGAGCUAUACACCCCACUCCUGAGCUCCCAGUGUUUGCCAGUUUCCAGUAUGACCACUACCUCUACCCCUGGUCGGAGUCUCGUCACUUGAUGGUGCCCACUGAUGCUGUGGAUGGAUCUGUGUGGACCAGGAGACAGCCAUGGACAGAGCCACUUGGGGACUUUCACACCAUCACAGAUCUGCCAUUUCAUCUGUCAGCUUGUGACAGCAAAGAACUAGUGUUUAUAAUGACCUUAGAAACUACACUGACCUAAUAGUUCCUCAUGGGUCAUUGAUUUCUGUUGUAGAAAGGACAUUAAUCAGUUACAGUUACAUUAUUUUCUGUUUAGUGUGACCCAAAUGAGGAUGGGUUCCCUUCUGAGCCUGGUUCCUCUCAAGGUUUCUUCCUCAUAUCAUCCCAGGGAGUUUUUCUUUGCGUCGCCACACGCUUCUCAUUGGGGAUAAAAUAAAAUAAGGAUAAAAUAGUUUAUUAAUUUAAUUUAAUAAUUUAUUUUUAUUUCUAGUUAUUUAGUUAUUUUUUAUUUUCCAUUUUUCCCCUCCCCUUUCUCUGUUUCUCUUCUUUUGUAAAGCUGC